rnacentral:lncRNA from 1 species
CUUAGUCUGACUAGUUAAGAUUGGUUUAGAGUUAAAUAUAAGAUCGACUUUGAAUAUUGGACUAUGGAGGGAUAAUUAUUAAGUAUUUCUGAAAAUGAUAAUACAAAGAUAAUAAGUUUAGGAGCAUGAAACAAUGGUGGAAAUAUUAAAAUGUAAGAUAGAGAACUAUUGACAAGGUUGGUAUGGAUGGCUGUUGAGUGUUGAUUUUUCUAUUCAUUUUUUUUUGUUUCUUUAGCAUCGUCUGCGUACUAAAACCGACAAAAAUAUAAUAAAGAACAUACACACCUUUCAACUAACUCAAUAUUACAUACAUAGAAUAUGUUUGAAAAACGGUUGAUACGAAGUCUCACGUUUUCAGUUUGGUUUACAAAAUAAAGUGAUCUUAACUAUCUCGAAACGCCAUGUAAAUGUGUACAACCUUUUAUGAUGCUUAGACGUCAAAUUAUUUCCAAUAGAUGUGAAUCAUUCUUUUAUGUCUUGAUUCUUGAAUAUAAAUAGAAUAAACAACCAGUUUUCGUUGGUUUGGUUGGUAACAAAAAGAGAUGGUAUAAGUUGCGUCAAAGAAGUAAUCCAUAUCUUCUUUUCCAACAAAGAAGAAAUCCCUCAGUC